UUUGUUUCCAAAAUAAGAAUAUCGUUUAUUUGUUGAUCAACACUUGAAGGAAAAUUAAGUAAAAAAGAAUGGGAAGAAGAACCAAGAGCCUUGUGGAUAAACAAGCUUGUUCAAUAUACGGCCCUGCAUUAUUGAGUGACUGUGGAUUGCCUGAUUCGUCUUUUGGUUUCUUGACUUCCUUUGCCUUGGAUUUUCUAACUCCAGUGUUAAUUGGUGGUGUUUUUUUCUGUUUGAGUUUUAAACAAUUUUCUACCAAUCACUUCAGAUACACAAUAAUCACUGAGAUAGCAAAGAGAGAAAUGCGUGUUAACAUGAUGAGAACAACCUGAAGUAAGGUGGGCACCCUUGCUUUUAGCGGUCCCGGUGGCCCACUGUCAACACUUCCUCCAUACCCUACCUCCUCACAGAAAGGAGGGGCCCAGCCAUACAAGCAGUGGCAGUUUUUUUUAUUGUUGCAAAUGCCCCGGUGGUUGCACUUCUCAGGCAAACAGUCAAACUGCAGCAAUGAGCUAUCCACACAGGUUCUGUUAACACAUAUCCGAUUCGUACCACAGGAGGUACCAUCAUUUACCACACCAAUGUCAGGUAUCCCCAAGGGUACCUUGGAUAGAUGAUAGCCUGUGCCCCAGCACAUGAGGUUUUCCUCUCCCAAAUGAGUAGAAAUGAUAGUAGUAUGUUCUGGCAUUUCAGGGAUGGUUUUGACAUUGAUACACUGUAGCCUGCCACAUACUGCAUUUUCCCUAGUACACUUUUGAUAGUCACCAAUUCCUCUAAUACCACAGUUCCCAUGUUGAUCACCAAUUAAAUUAACUGCAUCAUAGCACUUACUGGGAGCCUCCCUGGCAUCAGGUCCAAAAAGCCUUUGGCACUGCAUAUAUCUGGAUUGGCACCCCUUUCUGAAACAACGGGCUUCGUACUUGCAAGGGGUUCCAUCCUGCUUAUAAGUGUCACUUGGGCAGAGACCUGAGGUCCCAGUGCAGUACUCUGCAAGGUCACAUUCAUUUUCUUCCUUCCGACACACAUACCCAGAGGGACGAAAGUGACACUUAUGACAGCAAAGUCCCAUGCUACAAUUGACACCAUGUUUCAAUUUACAAUCUGGUUGACAACACUGGUCUUUUUUACAGUCCUCUCUUGAACCACAAUCACAUUCCUCAUUCUCUUCCACAAUUUUGUUUCCACAUCUCUGAACCACAUAGCCUACUUCUGGGAUGUCAGUUAGACACGCUCCUGCUGAGUGUAUGAAAGCAAUAUAAUAGGAAUAACUACAAUUACUAAACCCAGUUCGCCCAGUGCCCAUGAUGCAACUACGCCUGCCCUUACAUUGACAGUAUUCAUAAUCAUGGGACAUUCCCACACCAUGGCCAAGGCAAUGAGCACUCCAGGUGGCAGGUCCAAGGACAUUUAUAUCUGGAAAGACACUUAUAGCUCCACUGUAUGUCUGACUACACACUCUUCCAAAGGACUGUCCAAGGUAAUCGACAUAUUGUCCUUUAAGGUAUAGGUGUGCCCAAUCUGCCGGGAUCCGGGCAUUUAGGGUCCUGCGUCUGUACAGCAAAAAUUGGCUUAAAACCUGCUGUGUCGUUGGAGAAUCAACCUUCAUUUUGUUUGCAUCUGUCCAAACUUCAAUACCUCUCAGAUGUAUUCUCAUAUUGAUAUCUUGGAAGUAAGUGUCCAUAAUCCCAGUCAUAAGAAUGGCAUCAUUUAUGACUCGAGUAAGAUUGGAAUUGGAGUACAAAUAUCUACGAUGAUCAAAGACCAGGGCUAAUUCAAGGUACUUUUUGUGUUUAUAGGAGUCAGAAAAGUCCCUAAGCCGAGCCACAUUCUCAUGCUGGGCCAUCUGCCGUUUUAUUUCAUCAUCAAGUAAGCCACAGGACUGAUUGUGAAAUUCCUCUUCUUUCUUCAGAAGAUAUAUGACAUGUUCAAAACUGGAAGAGGCCUUGAGGGGCUCGAUUUGGUAAUGUUUGGCAUCAAUUUUCAAUAUGCCUUGGAGACCCCCCAGGCAUGUACUUAGGGUAGCUUCAGAAUCCCGGGUUCCUUCAAUGAAACCCAUAUAGUUGCAGUCCCCCGGUAUGUAAGGGUAAUCCUCCAGGAGAUCGCCCUCUUCUGUGAAGGAGAAAACCUGCAGAUUUCGGGACAAUAGUAACCUCUUGGGCCACAGGUGGAGGACAUGCUCCUUGCCUUUUACCUGCAGGAGGUAGGACACGUGCUUGGCCACAGCCUCCUCCCCUCCCCGUGAACUCAGCUUCUUGGGGAUGAUGAUUUCAUACGAGUCAAACCCCCACUCAGGGUGAAAAAUUAAAUCCUCGCCGAGAGAGUCAACCAGGAGCAGCCCCAGGACUAGGAUCAGGAUGGAGAGCGAACGGCCUUGGGAGAGUAAGGUCCUCACUGACCUCAUGGCGCAGCUCCGUCCUUUAGGGAGUCAGUCCCUGCCGCUGCGGCCUUGCGAGUCAGACUUCCAGGGGCCGCCACUAGAGGCGCCGGAGCGCAAAGUGCGGAGCUCCCAGAGCAGGGCGGGCGGGAGCUCCAGCCUCCCGGGCUCGGCCCAGCUGACAUUUCCCGGAACCAUACCUAGACCGUUUUCUGGGCGGCGCCGUUGGGCGCACGUGGAAGAAACGAGGGAAACGUGCGCGCGAAUAAAAGAGAAAAGAGAGGCUAUUGGCACGAGGGAUGGAAAAGGGCAGAGAGCGGCUGGGAAAAGCAGGCAUAGGGAAUAGGAAGAACAGAGAACCUGUUGAAGGCUCACUAUGCCUGUGCCGUUUAGUCUUGUUUCUGUGGCCCGAGUGCAUACCUGAUGUUUUCCAUCGGUUGGAAUGGGAUGUUUUAUGGGCCACUGUGCCCACCUCACCACUCCGUUGCCAGUUUUCCCCUGGGCUCGCCUGAGGCGGAGGGAAGGAGCGCCACGGAGCCGGCAAGAGCAGCAGCAGAGCUGAGAACAUCAGUGCAGAGUCUACAUUCCAGCCCCGUCUCGGGCAGCGCCUGAAUUCAGGCGAGAGAAAGGUUCCGGGGGGCGGGGGGGGGGCUCUUUGUGCCGUGCGUCCUUAGGUGCCAGGGAUCAGCGUGAUUUGUGGGGGUGUGUGUACAGUGGCGGGGAAAUCUAGGAAGAGAAAAGUACCUCGGAAAACGGCAAAACCCGGGAGGUUCCAGAGAAAGGUUGAAGAUAUUUUGCUAUAAUUAUCCUGGACAACACAAGAAUCACAGACCUUAUGAGGAGAAAGAGGCGAAUAAACAGAAACAACAGUGUGUGUGCUUUCUCGGACAGGUGUUGUUUGCUCUCUCCUGAAGGCCCAUUCUCAAUGCUUCCUCCAAACCACUCCUCCUCACAGAAAGGAGGGGCCAACCUCACAAACAUUGGCAGUUUUUUCUAUUAUUGCUAACAUCUCAGUAGUUGCAAAUCUCAGGCCAACAGUCACAUUUUAGGGUUGUGAUUUUGACAUAUUCUCUGUCAAUACAUACCAGGUCCUCACCGCAGGAAGUGCCAUCCCUCACGAUGCCCAAAUCUGGUAAUCCACAGGCUAUCAAAGAUGCAUGAUACUCUGUGCACAGGAGAUUUUCCUUCUGCAGAUGAGUGGAAGGUAGAGUAAUAUGAUCAAGCAUGUUAGGGAUGGCCUUGACACUGAUACACGGCGUCCUUCCACAUGAUGUAUGUUCAGUUUACAUGUUAUAUAACCACGACCCUAGAUUCCACAGUUUCCAGAUCCAUCAUCCCGUAAAGUCACUGCAUUGUAUCAUUGACAUGGCCCAUCUAUGGCUUCUUCUCCAAAUAUAUUUUUACACUAUAGGUAAUGAAUGUAGCAUUCCUUUUUGUAACAAAGGCAACCACCUUUGCAAGGAGUUUCAUCUUACUCAUAAGGAUCAUCUGGGCAGAGGCUUGAAUUCCCAUUGCAGGACUCUGCAAGUUUGCGUCCAUUUUCUUUCCGCUCUACUACUAAAUUGGAGGCGGGAAGGCCUGUAGGGGGAGCUCUCACACCCUAUCAUACAAUGUCAAUUAUGCCGAACAAUAAGGGAACGUACGCUUGCAUCUCAGACAGGAAGGUGUUUACUGCUUUCCUACAAAGCAGAAGGUAGAUUUCUCUCCCUGCCUGGCAACAGCCCAGCCAAUGAGAGACUGUGGCAACCCAAACAAUGAGAAGCCUUUACACUUUGGACUCCCAGUUUUCUCCAAUGGAUUGUUUGUUUAUUACAGCCCCUCCCUUCUCCCCCUUUUCCUCUAUACUAGAAGCAAACCCCUUUCUUUGUUUCUCUGGAUCUGAUUAUCAUGGGUGUAGCCUGUGUAUGUGGAAUUACAAUUCCUCUGGCUAUUCCCAAAUAAACUCAUUCUGCA
rnacentral:lncRNA from 1 species